rnacentral:tRNA from 1 species
GCCUGGCUGGCUCAGUCAAUAGAGCAUGUGACUCUCGAUCUCAGGGUCAUGGGUUCGAGGCCCACACUGGGCA